rnacentral:misc_RNA from 1 species
UUGGUUCAAGUCUACAUAUCAAUUGGUGGAUCUAGUGAAUUAUUUUAUGAUCAAAUGAUGCAUUUUGGCAUAAAAGGUAGAGGUGUGCAAGAUUUUUUUUCAAUCUAGUUUGGAGAGAAUUUUUUUAACUGAAUCAGACUUUUAAAUAUGAUCUGAACAAAAAUAAACAUAUAUCUUCAAAUUUGUUUGACUUGGCAUAUAUUCCAUUAAAAACUCGGGGCGCUUCCUACACGAGUCACAGAGGAGAAAUUUUUCUAUCUUUCUAGGUGGAUUUCAGGUUGUGGUUUCUUUUAACUAGCACCUUCUAGCUCUGCAUUUAUAAAUUACCAAGAGCACUAAUAUAUAAUGUCUUAGCAGCCAAAAGGGCCAGUAAUACAAAUUUGAUGUGCUAUUGUAUAUAUUCAUUGGCUAGUGCCAUGAUUUUAGUAGUACUCCAGAACCUGAAAAUUAAAGGCAGUAAUUUUAUGUGCAUCUGUGUGUUUUUGUUCCUUAGAUGAUGGUCAUGAUGCAAUUUGAUUUUUUAUUUUGCAGCUAACAAUUUGGAG